rnacentral:rRNA from 1 species
GAGCGGCAGCACGGGUACUUGUACCUGGUGGCGAGCGGCGGACGGGUGAGUAAUGCCUAGGAAUCUGCCUGGUAGUGGGGGAUAACGCUCGGAAACGGACGCUAAUACCGCAUACGUCCUACGGGAGAAAGCAGGGGACCUUCGGGCCUUGCGCUAUCAGAUGAGCCUAGGUCGGAUUAGCUAGUUGGUGAGGUAAUGGCUCACCAAGGCGACGAUCCGUAACUGGUCUGAGAGGAUGAUCAGUCACACUGGAACUGAGACACGGUCCAGACUCCUACGGGAGGCAGCAGUGGGGAAUAUUGGACAAUGGGCGAAAGCCUGAUCCAGCCAUGCCGCGUGUGUGAAGAAGGUCUUCGGAUUGUAAAGCACUUUAAGUUGGGAGGAAGGGCAGUUACCUAAUACGUGAGUGUUUUGACGUUACCGACAGAAUAAGGCACCGGUCUAACUCUGUGCCA